GGGCGAUUAGCUCAGUUGGUUAGAGCAUCGUGUUGAUAACGCGAGGGUCACUGGUUCGAGUCCAGUAUCGCCCACCA
rnacentral:tRNA from 1 species